rnacentral:rRNA from 1 species
GAUGAACGCUGGCGGCGUGCCUAAUACAUGCAAGUCGAGCGAACAGAUGAGGAGCUUGCUCCUCUGACGUUAGCGGCGGACGGGUGAGUAACACGUGGAUAACCUACCUAUAAGACUGGGAUAACUUCGGGAAACCGGAGCUAAUACCGGAUAAUAUAUUGAACCGCAUGGUUCAAUAGUGAAAGACGGUUUUGCUGUCACUUAUAGAUGGAUCCGCGCCGCAUUAGCUAGUUGGUAAGGUAACGGCUUACCAAGGCAACGAUGCGUAGCCGACCUGAGAAGGUGAUCGGCCACACUGGAACUGAGACACGGUCCAGACUCCUACGGGAGGCAGCAGUAGGGAAUCUUCCGCAAUGGGCGAAAGCCUGACGGAGCAACGCCGCGUGAGUGAUGAAGGUCUUCGGAUCGUAAAACUCUGUUAUUAGGGAAGAACAAAUGUGUAAGUAACUAUGCACGUCUUGACGGUACCUAAUCAGAAAGCCACGGCUAACUACGUG